rnacentral:tRNA from 1 species
ACCAGUGUGGUGUAGUGGUUUGCGUGUUGGACUACAACUCUGGAGACCAGUGUUCAAUUUCCAGCUCAGCCA